rnacentral:rRNA from 1 species
CAGUCGCCACGGUAAUACGUAGGGUGCGAGCGUUAAUCGGAAUUACUGGGCGUAAAGCGAGCGCAGACGGUUACUUAAGCAGGAUGUGAAAUCCCCGGGCUCAACCUGGGAACUGCGUUCCGAACUGGGUGACUAGAGUGUGUCAGAGGGAGGUAGAAUUCCACGUGUAGCAGUGAAAUGCGUUGAGAUUGGAAAGAACACCAACGGUAAAAGCACUCUGCUGGGCCGACACCGACACUGAGAGACGAAAGCUAGGGGAGCAAAUGGGAUUAGAGACCCCUGUAGUCCCUGUCUCUUAUAC